rnacentral:rRNA from 1 species
ACGGCCCUACGGGUUGUAAACUGCUUUUGCGGGGGAAUAAACCUCCCGACGUGUCGGGAGCUGAAUGUACUCUGAGAAUAAGGAUCGGCUAACUCCGUGC